GGCUCCUCUGAGGUGCCAGUGAGCCACAUUCCCUUAGUGGUAUGGAGUGGCCAUCUCUUUAGAGUUUAGACCACGUUGCUUCCUUCUCACAUAGGCCUGUGCUGGUUUUGCAGGUGCAGCGGUACUUGGAGAAGAGCAUGGUCAGCAGGAAGCUCUUUGGCUUCACAGAACGCUUUGGAGUGGUUCUUCUGUCUCCCUCGGCCUCUCAGGAGAACCACAGUCUGGACGGCUUCCAGCACUUCCUGAAGAGCCUGCAGUCAGGGCCUGCUGAGGACUCCCUGGAGGAAGGCCAGGCCACCGCCCCUCGGCCUGCCUCUCCACUGAUGCACAUCGAGGCCUUUCUGGCG